rnacentral:lncRNA from 1 species
UUUACACAAAGGUUAAGCCCUUGAAAUACUGCCGGCUCCCUCCCCUAACACAACGUGCCAACUCUGGGAAGGAGGUGAGAAACCUGGAGGAGGUAGGGCUUAAACUGCACCUUGAAAAAAGCAGAAGCUUAACAAGAGGAGAUGCUGUGUGAGUACAAAUGUAUGUUCUUUCCAGCUCUUUUCCCUCUUUAUGCCUGAAGUGAGUCAGUUAACAUUGAUCUAACCAUGUGUCAACCUCUUUAGGGAACUUCUAUCUGACUGAGCUACUUUUCUCUCCUAAAGAUCAUGAUCCUUCUCCAUUCCAUGACUUGGCCUUCAUCCAGAAGAACUGGCUGUGUAACAAUUCCCAUGAGGUUAAGUAUUGUACUUGGGAAUAAUAAUCUCUCAUCUCUUAUAUGUGGAAAGAAUAUGCUUAUCUCCUUACCACUGGGGAAGGCCUUGGGAAGAAAGCAGAAAGACAACACGGCAAGCUCUUGAGGGACAUAGAAGACUACUUUUGUGUCAAUGAGACAACUCAAUAAAAAAU